CUGGCCUCUAGAAAUGUUACAGAUGUGACUUCUGUGUCACAUGUGUGUCAUUAGGUGGCAGAGAAAAGAAAGGCUUGUCUAUGUCCAGUGUUCUGACCUGUGAAAAACUGGGUGACACUCAAAGAAAAACAAA
rfam:Erinaceus europaeus unplaced genomic scaffold scaffold00341, whole genome shotgun sequence